ACAUAUAUUUAUUUUUAAAGUCUCUGUACAUCAUUUGAAAUCCUUUGCAAACUACAAUAUCAUGGAAUAUCAGUUCAAAAAAGGUGUCAGUUGGUUGUGUUCAAAUUGGAACACAAUAACUGACUAUUAGGGAGUUGAAAUAUCACUCUGUAAUAAAUACUUAUUGUAUUCCAUAGAGUUAUAUCUUGUGUAUAUUAAAGAUGCAUUAUUGUAUUCCAUAGAGUUAUAUCUUGUGUAUAUUAAAGAUGCAUUAUUGUAUUCCAUAGAGUUAUAUCUUGUGUAUAUUAAAGAUGCAUUAUGUAAGAUAUAGAUAAAGAGCUGGCUGUUGUUCACAAAUAGAUAAUGAAAAAUGAAUGUAUUAAACAUUUCAUUCAAAUUUCUUUAUUCUGAGUGAAGUUUUGACUGUUUGAAGAUAUAGUGUAGGUCGUUAAUUAUCUUAGCAAUGGUACUUGACAACCAAGACUUAGUCUUGAUUGUUCAUUUUAUCGUCAUCCACUUUUUAAUUUCAUGGAUGUUUAAAUCCAUUUUUUGACCAUCCGAUGAUCUAGAGAGUUGAUUAAAGGCUUGUCAUGAUAAUAAAUGAUAAUAAACACCUGCAAUAGGCAGAUUUAGCUCAUACAUAAAGCAUCUUUAAGAAAAAUUUCCCUUAAUUUUAAUUAAGAGCACUAGCAGCUUAAUUGGUGUAAAUAACACUAGAGUAAUAGUCUUACUAGAUUGGUUUUGUUAAUUGAAUGUGCAAUACUGUUAUAAUUGAUUUAUGUGGCUAAAAUGGUUUCUGUAAAUGAUUUAAGAUAAUCUUGUUAUUGAGUAUUAUCUUUAGCAUUGUUGCUAUGAUACUUCAGCUUUGUUUUUAAUUGUUGCUCCCUUUGGCAAUGGUAGACAUGUUAUACUAAUGUCCAAAAGAAAGUAUACACUGUGCAUUUUGUGCUGCAUCAACCAAAGUCGUUUUUCCAUGGUAUACGGUAUUAGGGUAGAAUGUCAAUUUGUUUCACAUUUUUAUUUUGCUUACAAAUGUUUUUAAUCUAAACAAAACUUAGUCAUACUUUUAGUGUGUAUACUUUCUUUUGGACGUCAGUAUAUUUGGUUGUGGUAUUACAGUAAUGUUUUGGUUACGGCAUGAAAUAAUCAGAUUCUAUUUUUAUUUUAGUAAAUAAAUUUGUAAUUGAUCAAUAAUGAAAAUCGCUUAAUAUCUAGCCUCUUCAGUUUUGGAGUCAACACAGUAACAUUUUGAUUGGACUACAAUAAUCCCUUCGUUAAUAAAAUUCAGUAAUCACUGGAACUUUCGUUGACAUUAAUUAAUUUAAACAGACCAUUCUUUUUCAAACCAAAGGUCGAUGUCAAUAUCCUGAUAAAGUUAUGUCACCGAUAUAUUUUAUUUUUUCAAUAAACAAAACAUCCUAUCAUAUUUCCUAGAAAUUCAAAGUUUUUGUUAAAAAGGUCAUUUAGAUAGUAUUGUUUACUUAAUUUAUCAUGUGUUUAUGCUAAUAAAUAUUUGUGUGCUAAUGAUGCAUGCUGUCUUAUCAGAUGUUUUCUUACACACAUUACUUAUUAUUAUUGUUUAUCUGAUAUACAUGUGGUAGUAAUAGAUGUUGAUGUUCAUGUAAUAGUGGUACGAGAUUGGUACCGGUUUAGAUAAGAUAUUAGGUGUGUAGAGUACAGAGUACAGAUUACAUUGCCUACACUUAUAAAUCUAUAUAACACCUAUGUUUGGCUAAUGUACUUAUAUCAUCUAUAUCAUGUGAUAUUGAUAACAUACUAUAAUCAUUUAAGAUAAAAAAAAUGAAAGAAAUCUUUAGGUACAAUGUACAUUAAUUGUUAUCAGUAGGUAUAAGUAUCAUUAAGUUCAUAUAAUAAUAUAAAUUCCAUGUUGGUCAUAUUACAUAAGCUUAUACAAUCAAUGGGUCAACUCAAGUCCUGGGGUUUAGGCCUAGGUCAAGGUUGGGUUGUGGUUGUGUUUAACUGUUUUAGGCCUUAAUUUAAGCUAUAUCUAGGUUUAAACCAGUGUUACAUUAGGGUUAAGCCAUUGUUAAAUAACAGUAGUGUAUUAUUAACAACACCAGUGUCAGUUUUUGCUUGGAAACUAUCUUGACUCAAAAGAGUAUUUCAAUAUUUAGAAGUUUAACUAAAAAAAUUAAUUUCUUCCAAAGUAAUAUUAAAAGUAUAAGUAAUAUUAAAAGUAUAAUAGCAAAUAUUGUGCAUAGCCCGUAGAAAGUGUUUGCAUCUUACAGCCUCAACUAAUUAUUUCAUAAGAGUCACUUGUAGUUUAAAUAGGGGGCUGGGGGUUCAAUGAUUAGGUGUGCACAUGUAAGAACGUAAGGUCUGUCAGUGAGUCAAGUGGCAAGGAGUAGGUUCGUCUGUCCAACCUCAUGGGUUUUCUCUGGGUCCUCCGGUUGCCUCACACUGUUACAGAACCCUACGUGUAAGGGAACUAUUGAAAUAAAAUAGAACUAUAUGUUAGACAGUUAGACCCCAAAUAUUUAGUCAGUGGUACUCCCCCGGUUAAAUAUCAUUUCUUUACUGUUUAACAUCAAAGUCAACAUAAUAUCAUUAUACAGGAAUUAUUUUGGAAAUUAGAAAAAUAGUACUGCCUGAAAUAAUUAGGUUAAUUACUAUUUAAUUGCUUUCUAUUAAAUAAGCCUCUAAACAUUCUCACCAGCUUGAUUAACACUUGACUUGAAAUGAGUAAUUUUUAACCCCCAGGGUUUAGUGUUAGAGAUAUUUAAUUCAUAAGGCCCAUUUUCUGUCUGAUCAUUUUCUAAAGCCAUAAUUUUUCUAGAAAAGGGCAUUGAAAAUAUCUACAAACUGAAGAGAUCAGGUAGAAAUUAGUGUUAAGGUAACAUAGAUGAGACAAGAGUUGUGUGAUUAGACCAAUACAGUGCUAGGACUAUCUAGGAAAAAGUGCUAAAUUUUGGAUGUUUGGGUUUGGUCCGGUUCACUGAUUUUAAUUGCUUGGUAUUCUGAUCUAAACAACAUGUCCAUCUUGAGUAGUAUUGCCCUAAUAAAAAUUACAUAAGCGUUGACAACUAUUAACCUGCCAGUGGGAGUAUCAAAUAACUUAACAUUUUAAUUUCUAAAAUAAAAAUCUCAUUUCAUACAAAGUCUUUGAUAUCAGUUGUUUAGUCUUCCAAAAACCAAGUUUUAUCAUGCUGAGCUAUUUUUGUACGCCCAUAUUUUCAAGUGGACGUGUAUUGAGUCGCCCCUGUCAGCCCACAGUUUAUUUGUGGACACGCGGUUCCUUUUGAUAUUGGCAUUUUAUCCAAUAUUAAAAGCUGUUCUAACAUAUCACCAUUCCACCCUUAUGAUGGUUGAGUUCGAAUUUCAUGAAAACCGGAUUGAAACUGCCCGCUCCUCGUUCGCAAAUAGUAUAAAAGUAUAUAAUACCAAGGUUGUGGACACUGUAGAAGUCACAAUUUUUUUAUCCGAUUUUGAUCAAACUUAAAAUAUAUGUCUAUAUUCCACAGAUUUUUGUUUCUCUCCAUAUUUGCACAUAUCGGUCCGUAACCUCCUAGAUUAUGGACCCCGGGUGUACCAAAAAUUACAGUUUAUACCCGAUUUUAAAAACCGUUUAAAUAUACACCGUUACACCCUGGGUUUGAAUUUUGUGAUAAUCGGAUCGAAGGCUGUGGUCCCUCUAACGAUUUGUAUCCGGUUUUGAAAAAAACUUAAUAUUAUAUGUUUAUGUAUCAAAGAUCUUGGUUUGAUGUUCGCGUAUAUCGGGCCUAACUUCUUGCCUUGUGGCCCCUAUUGUACGAGAAAUUGUAAGAAUAAUACUACGAGUUCUUGAUGUGGAAAUUUACACGGAAAUAUUUAUUUAUGGCUAGGGAUAUGAUAUCAUAUCUUUCUUAUCUAAAUUAUAUCCUGGUUAUAUAUAUUAUAUCCUGGUUAUAUAUAUAUAUGGCAAGAGUUAUACAAUCGUAAUGUGCUCAACAACCCUUGUUUUACUUAUGAAUAUUUAUCUCCCCAAGAAAAAGUUCCAAAUUCAUUUAAUUGGUUAACAUCAAAUUGGUCAAUAUCAAAGUAUAUGAGUAAAAUAAUGUAAGAUAUUUUAUACCCUGGCUUAGACAAGCUGCUGUAGAUAUUACAUCAAAUUAAUAAGCUUAUUAUUACAUUAUGUAAUAUUUGAAUCAAUUUUUUUUAAUUUUAUUAAAUUGUUAUUAAAUUUGUUUAUUUCUGUGUUUAAUUUGAUUAGUUUUUCUUAUUCUCUUAUUCAAAUUUCAUAGAAUCUGAUUCCAAACCCAUCUAGCUUUAGUGUUACAUUCUAAAUAUAGAGCAGUGUAAUAUGACACUUAUACAAUACACCAUCUGAAUAGAUCAUAAUUGGGCUACAAUUUAUUGUCUUUGAGAGGUCACAUUCCCAAACUUGAAGAAAUCUGGCUGAUUUCUAGUUGGUCUUAAGACUGAAUACAGCCCUUCAGGCUGUCUUAUAUGUGGUGCUGGCAUUGUGUUCUCAUGGUGUUAUAUGCUUACUUGUGUUUAACACUACACUAUCACAACACAGGAAUUGAAUUCACCCAAUGUAGUUACAAGUGCUAUGUGUCCAUAUGUGAAAGCAUAAUUGAGAAGUAUUUACAUGUGUUUUUUAUUCUUUAUUUUUUGUGUUGCAUAAAAUUUUAUCGCCAACCUGAAAUGUAGCUAGAAUUUGUAUUGUGUGGGAUGAUCCUUGAGUUUGACCUCCACCCCCCUUCCAAGAAAAACACAACACAAUAUGCCUCAAUCAUACUUAAACUGUUCAACAAUCCUUCUACUGACCCUGACAGAAGAAACAACUUUUUUUUCAAUGCCAUAGACCAAAAGUGCCAACCCCAACAAAGUACUGCUUACUAGUCCUCCUCAAGCUAUACUACUAUCCCAAUACGAUGUAAAUAUUUAUAUUCAUACUGUAUAAAAAUAUGUAUUACCUCCGCUUUUAAAAUUUUUUUUAAUAUGUACAGUGAAGAAAGAUAUAUUUUAAUAUUUCACCCUUUUGUUCACAUGUUAAUAAAUUCAUACCAUUUA